AUUGAACGCUGGCGGCAGGCUUAACACAUGCAAGUCGAGCGGAGAUGAGGUGCUUGCACCUUAUCUUAGCGGCGGACGGGUGAGUAAUGCUUAGGAAUCUGCCUAUUAGUGGGGGACAACAUUCCGAAAGGAAUGCUAAUACCGCAUACGUCCUACGGGAGAAAGCAGGGGAUCUUCGGACCUUGCGCUAAUAGAUGAGCCUAAGUCGGAUUAGCUAGUUGGUGGGGUAAAGGCCUACCAAGGCGACGAUCUGUAGCGGGUCUGAGAGGAUGAUCCGCCACACUGGGACUGAGACACGGACCAGACUCCUACGGGAGGCAGCAGUGGGGAAUAUUGGACAAUGGGGGGAACCCUGAUCCAGCCAUGCCGCGUGUGUGAAGAAGGCCUUAUGGUUGUAAAGCACUUUAAGCGAGGAGGAGGCUACUGAGACUAAUACUCUUGGAUAGUGGACGUUACUCGCAGAAUAAGCACCGGCUAACUCUGUGCCAGCAGCAGCCGCAGUAA
rnacentral:rRNA from 1 species